rnacentral:rRNA from 1 species
GACAGGGGUCUCGAGCGUUAAUCGGAAUCACUGGGCUUAAAGGGUGCGUAGGCGGACCGGAACGCGUCCCGUGAAAUCCCCCGGCUCAACCGGGGAACCGCGGGGCGAACGGCCGGACUUGAGGCAGGUAUGGGCGGGCGGAACCGUAGGUGGAGCGGUGAAAUGCGUAGAUAUCUACGGGAACGCCGAUGGUGAAGACGGCCCGCUGGGCCUGUCCUGACGCUGAGGCACGAAAGCGUGGGGAGCAAACAGG